rnacentral:SRP_RNA from 1 species
GCUGGGAAUCGAACCCAGGUCCUCUGGAGGAACUUCAAGCAUUCUUAACCACUGAUUCAUCACUUGAGUUUAGGAGUUCUAGGCUGUAGUGUGCUAUGCCUAUAUAGGGUCUCUGCAGUAAGUUCAGCAUCAAUAUGGUGGCCUCCUGGGAGUAGAGGAUCACCAGGUUGCCUAAGGAGGCGUGAACUGGCCCAGGACAGAAAUGGAGUGAGUCAAAACUCCUGAGCUGCUCAGUAGUCAGACUGUACCUGUGAAUAGCCACUGCAUUCCAGCCUGGGCAACAUAGUGAGACCCCAGCU